ACCCCCGUAGCUCAACGGACAGAGCACCGGACUUCUAAUCCGAUUGUUGUGGGUUCGAAUCCCACCGGGGGUGCCA
rnacentral:tRNA from 1 species